GAAGGGCCGAUCGCAUCCUCUAAUUUUAUACCCGCCUGAACGGGGGAUAUGGAUUCAAAGCCCAACAUAGCUGCUACUGUGGACUCAGGACUCAUGAGCUAACUUCAUGAAUGCUUGAAGUACCCUACGCAACUCCAUGAGGGAUUGAGGGUUCCUACUUCCCAGUUCCCAGAACAUUUGGAUAAAAUAGUAGGUGGGUUCCUGGAAAUUCUUGCUCCGGACCAAAUUCAGUUGAAUUCUUAAACCGCACCACGAGAAUACGAAUAAUUACAUAUAUGUCCGAAAGGUUCAGUCCCUUCCUCCGAGCAUUCCAACCCUCCGGGCUAGACCGCAACGGCACAAUAGAUGUUGCACACUGCACAUCCUCAUUAAUUUAUUUUCCUUAAACAUUUUCGUGGAAAAUCUAGAAUGCUGGGAACUACAGGGCCAUGAGAUUUUCUCGAGAAAAUUAUGAGGGCUUCUUUCUGGGCGGGCGAUUCAAAUAAUGCAUCAACAUCCAGUGCUCCGCCACGCAUUCCUCAGGCAGUUUCGGGCCAGCCCAGUACCCGUCGCAGCAACAUCAUUCCACUGCUAGUGCGAAGAGAGGUUUCUCCUCGAGUGAGCCGUUCAUCAAAAAGGUUAUGGGGCAAAGCUUCUAAGUGCCAUGUGGCUUUUUAUGGGACCAAGUUUGAAUCACAAGGAGAUCCAAGAGUUGGUCUCAUCUCAUGGGUAGAGGCAGAGUCAUUGCAGCAUUUAUCUGCUGAAUAUUGCACUUUGCUGCCCUCUCCUAGGUCAACUAUAGCGGCAGCCUUUAGUCCUGAUGGAAAAACUCUUGCUUCUACACAUGGAGACCAUACAGUAAAGAUAAUUGAUUGCCAAACUGGGAGAUGCUUAAAGGUAUUGACUGGUCAUCGGAGGACACCCUGGGUGGCCAGGUUUCAUCCCUUGUAUCCAGAAAUACUUGCAAGUGGAAGUUUGGAUCAUGAAGUAUGCUUAUGGAAUGCCAAUACUGCGGAGUGUAUAGGAUCUCGUGAUUUUUACCGUCCAAUUGCUUCUAUUGCCUUUCAUGCGCAUGGGGAACUUCUUGCUGUAGCUUCAGGCCAUAAGCUGUACAUAUGGCACUAUAGUCGGAGAGAUGAGAUGUCACGUCCAACCAUUGUGCUGAAAACCCGACGUUCGCUUCGAGCUGUGCAUUUCCACCCAUAUGCUGCUCCAUUUCUUUUAACUGCCGAGGUCAAUGAUCUCGAUUCAUCUGAUUCCCCAAUGACAUUUGCAACUUCUUCAGGCUACUUGUGCUAUCCCCCUCCUACUGUAUAUGUGGCAGAUGCUCAUUCUACUAGUCGAUCUCGUUUGACAGAUGAACCACCGCUCAUCCCUCUACCUGUCUUAACCUGGCUUUCUAGUGCUGGAGAUGAUGGGAGAAUGAUUUCACAGCAUACAGAUAGGACCGUUGGUUCAAGUGAUGCACAACAGAGGGUGGAUACUUCUGCUUCAGUGCGUCUCCUGACAUAUUCUACUCCAUCGGGGCAAUAUGAACUGCUGUUGUCUCCUGUAGAACCUAGCAGCUCAUCUCCUGUACCAGAGGAAACUGGAUCUAGUUCUUUCUUGGGUGAAGUGGAGAAUGCACAUUCUCGGUCAGCUAUGGAUGCUAUGGAAGUGCAGCCUGAAGAAAGUAGUAAUCAGUUUUUUUCUUUUGGGGACCCAAUGCACUGGGAGCUACCUUUCUUGCAAGGGUGGUUAAUGGGCCGAAGCCAAGCGAACCAGCGCCCGACACAUCUGCUUGGCGGUGUUCAAGGCAAUUCAUUUGCAUUUAGUGAAGUGGAAUUUCCAGCUGUAAUAGGUUCCUCAGUAGCAUCAGCAACCGUUGGCCAACCCAGCAUUACAGGAAGGCGACAUCAUUCAUCGCACUCACGUAUAAUAUCCACAACUGUACCUCUUGAAGGUGCUAAUGUUGUACAGGAUGAAAAUGAUCCUCAAUCUGCUACGGGUAGAAAUCAUUCUGAAUUUGCCACAUCACUGGCAGCAGCGGCAGCUGCAGCUGCGGAGUUACCUUGUACAGUAAAGCUAAGAGUAUGGCAUCAUGAUGUAAAAAAUCCAUGUGCAUCUCUUGAUGAAGAAAGAUGUCGCUUAACCAUACCACAUGCUGUGCUUUGUAGUGAAAUGGGUGCCCAUUUUUCGCCUUGUGGGAGAUUUUUGGCAGCCUGUGUCACAUGUAUGCUGCCUCAUUUGGAAGCUGAUCCUGGAUUACACGGCAUGAUGCACCAUGAUACUGGGACUGCAACAUCCCCUACACGACACCCAAUUUCAGGUCACCAAGUCAUGUAUGAGCUUCGGAUAUAUUCCCUUGAAGAGGCAACAUUUGGCCUAGUGCUUGCAUCACGAGCUAUCAGAGCUGCUCAUUGUUUAACUUCAAUUCAGUUUUCACCCACAUCGGAACACUUAUUACUUGCCUAUGGUCGUCGCCAUGGUUCACUUCUUAAAAGUGUUCUCAUUGAUGGAGAGACAGCGGUGCCAAUUUACACAAUUCUGGAGGUCUACAGAGUUUCAGAUAUGGAACUUGUAAGAGUUCUUCCCAGUGCAGAGGAUGAGGUCAAUGUAGCUUGUUUUCACCCUUCAGUUGGUGGGGGCCUUGUCUAUGGAACAAAAGAAGGGAAGCUUAGAAUACUUCAGUAUGACAGUUCUCAUGGCAUUGCCCAUGUGUCAUCCUCUUAUCUUGAUGAGAACAGGGUACCAACAUAUGCUUUAGAAUGCUGAUAACUAGCUACUGCUCCCAGAAAAUGAGUCAAACAUCUUGGCGUGGAUGGUUUUGUGAAGGCUUCUUUGUGAUUUUUUUGGAGCCGUGGCAGCGUUUGCAUGUUUAGUUGUGAGGCUGUGGCAGUGCUAUAUCUGUUGUGUAGUUGCUGAUUUGUGAGUGCUAUGGCAGUGCUAUAUACAUCAAUCUGCCCCAAUUUUCUAGAGUCUUUCUGCAAGAGAUCAACUCCUGCGAGAAAUUGGUUUGAUUCCUGCGAAAUUGCAGAAAAGGAUGAGUCGAGUUAAAAGCAAGAUUUUGAAGGCACCUAGUAAGCAAGAAAUGCACCAUCCAUAUUGGGAUCCUUUGCAAGAAAUAGAAAGCUUCCAGUGAGAAAUUUGUGGGACCUGGGGAUAGACCUCUUGGAAUUGUAUGAACUUCAGUAUGUGCUUGUACACCCUUGAAAAUUAGUUUAAUGUUCCUAUGUAAUUUGUGAGCUUGUAAGUUUGUACUAGGUCCAUAUUUCUGUGCAUUUCUUCUUCUUGCUCUUCAUUUUCA